rnacentral:lncRNA from 9 species
UUUUUUUUUUUUGGUCUUUUUGUCUUUGUUGUUGUUGUUGUUGUUGCUAUUUCUUGGGCCGCUCCCGUGGCAUAUGGAGGUUCCCAGGCUAGGGGUCGAAUCGGAGCUGUAGCCUCUGGUCUACGCCAGAGCCACAGCAACGCGGGAUCCGAGCCGCGUCUGCAACCUACACCACAGCUCACGGCAACGCCGGAUCGUUAACCCACUGAGCAAGGGCAGGGACCGAACCCGCAACCUCAUGGUUCCUAGUCGGAUUCGUUAACCACUGCGCCACGACGGGAACUCCCAGAUUUUUUUUUUUUUAAUGGCUGCACUUGUGGCAUAUUCCCAGGCUAGGGUUGAAUCAGAGCUGCAGCUGCUGGCCUACACCACAGCAAUGUCAGAUCCGAGCCACAUCUGAGACCUAUGCCACAGCUCAUGGCAAUGCCAGAUUCUUCAACACACGGAGCAAGGCCAGGUAUCGAACCUGCGUCCUCUUGGAUACUAGUCUGGUUCAUUACUGCUGAGCCGCAAUGGGAACUCCCUAGAUUACCUUUUUUUUAGCGUGUUGGUGGGAGGUGAUCUCCAUGUCCCACUCUUCCACUGUCUUGAUCUCGCCUCAAUUAUGUUUUUAUUAUUUCUUUACCUACUUUUAUGCUCUAAUUAUUGCAUAUCAAAAAUUAUAAUAAAAAUAUGUUCAUCAAUACUUUACAGGAACUUUUAGUCUUUAGAUAAGGUUUGUUACACAAUUAUUUAUCUUUUGUGUAUUUAAUAUUACUAUUAUUAGCCACGUGCAUGGCUUAUGGAAGUUCCCAGGCUAGGGACUGAAUUAGAGGCACAGCUCUGACUUACAGCAGAGCUGUGACAAUGCUGGAUCCUUAACCCACUGUGCUGGGCUGGGGAUUGACCCUGUGCCUCAGCAGCAACCAGAGCCACCACAGAGACAACCCUGGAUACUUAACCAGCCACACCACGGUGGGGAUGAUGUUUUGUGUAGUUUUGUUUUGUUUUGUUUGCCCCCCAGCAUAUGGACUUAGAUGGAUCCUUUAACCCACUGUGCCAGGUUGGGGAUCAAACCUGCAUCCUGGUGCUGCAGAGGUGCUGCUGAUCCUGUUGAGCCACAUGGUUUGGAUCAGCAAGGGUCUGCACCUGGGACUGGCAGAGUGGGUUAAAGGAUCCAGCAUUGCAGCAGCUGCCACAUGCUUCAGCUGUGGCUUGGAAUUGAUCCCUGGUCUAGGAACCUCCAUAUGCCUCAGGUGUGGCCAUAAAAAAAGUGUUGGAGUUCCUGCAGUGGCUCAAUAGGAUUGGCCGUGUGUGUCUGAAGCACUAGGAUGCCAGUUCAAUCCCUGGCGCAGUAGGUUGAUGACUUGGCGUUGCUGCAGUCGUGGUGUAGGUCGCAGCUGUGGCUCAGAUCUGAUCCCUGGCCCAGGAACUCCAUGUGCCACGGGGUGGCCGUAAAAGAAAAAAAAUGUUGAUCAACAUUUUCUAGGCACUUUUAUUCCUUAAAUUUUUUUUGGUCAGAGAAUUAUUUAUCUUUUGUGUAUUUCAUUAUUACUAUCACUGUGAGGUAAUCAGCUGUUCAUGUUUUGGGAGAGGGUCUUUCAGAUAUAAAUACAAGCAUUCAAGCACUUCAGUAAAUACAUGCACAUCUUUUCAAGUUAGUGUUUUCAUCUCCUCCAAAUGAAUACCUAGAAGCAGAAUUGCUGGAUCAUGUUAGCGCUGUUUUUAAUUUUCUGAGGACCCUCCAUGCCAUUUUUUAUACUGGCUGUACCAACAGUACACAAACGUUCCCUUUUUCCAGAUCCCUGCCAACCCUGUUAACAGUUAUUUUUGUCUUUUUGGUAACAGCCAUUCCAGCCAGUGUGAGGUGACACCUCGUUGAGGCUUGGAUUUCUGUUUACCUGAUUAGUGGUGGUGAAUACCAUUUCAUGUACCUGCAGCUGUGUCUUCCUUGGAAAAAUGUCUUAUUCAGAACCCUGUCCAUUUCUAACUGUUUUGGUUUUUUGCUACUGAGUUACAUGAGUUCUUUACAUAUUUUGGAUCUUAAUCCCUUAUGAGACAUGUAGUUUGCAAAUAUUUGUUGAUCAAUAUUUUCUAGGCACUUCAACUCCUUAGAUUAAGUUUUUGUCAGAGAAUUAUUUUUUUGUGUAUUUUAUUAUUUUUUUGGCUGCGCCUGCAGCACAUGGAAGUUCCCAGGCCAGGGAUCAAACUCAAGCCACAGCUGUGACAACACUACAUUCUUUAACCCACUGAGCCAGGCCAGAUAUCGAACCUGGGCCUCAGCAGUGACCUGAGC